CAGAUAAGGAGCUUGCUCCUUUGACGUUAGCGGCGGACGGGUGAGUAACACGUGGAUAACCUACCUAUAAGACUGGGAUAACUUCGGGAAACCGGAGCUAAUACCGGAUAACAUAUUGAACCGCAUGGUUCAAUAGUGAAAGGCGGCUUUGCUGUCACUUAUAGAUGGAUCCGCGCCGUAUUAGCUAGUUGGUAAGGUAACGGCUUACCAAGGCAACGAUACGUAGCCGACCUGAGAGGGUGAUCGGCCACACUGGAACUGAGACACGGUCCAGACUCCUACGGGAGGCAGCAGUAGGGAAUCUUCCGCAAUGGGCGAAAGCCUGACGGAGCAACGCCGCGUGAGUGAUGAAGGUCUUCGGAUCGUAAAACUCUGUUAUCAGGGAAGAACAAAUGUGUAAGUAACUGUGCACAUCUUGACGGUACCUGAUCAGAAAGCCACGGCUAACUACGUGCCAGCAGCCGCGGUAAUACGUAGGUGGCAAGCGUUAUCCGGAAUUAUUGGGCGUAAAGCGCGCGUAGGCGGUUUUUUAAGUCUGAUGUGAAAGCCCACGGCUCAACCGUGGAGGGUCAUUGGAAACUGGAAAACUUGAGUGCAGAAGAGGAAAGUGGAAUUCCAUGUGUAGCGGUGAAAUGCGCAGAGAUAUGGAGGAACACCAGUGGCGAAGGCGACUUUCUGGUCUGUAACUGACGCUGAUGUGCGAAAGCGUGGGGAUCAAACAGGAUUAGAUACCCUGGUAGUCCACGCCGUAAACGAUGAGUGCUAAGUGUUAGGGGGUUUCCGCCCCUUAGUGCUGCAGCUAACGCAUUAAGCACUCCG
rnacentral:rRNA from 1 species